CAGGCCCAGACAUGGGGUAGGCUGCAAAUCCAGAUCCUGGGGGCAAACCCUGGGAGCUUUAAGCAGGGUGAAUAAUAGGGGCUUAGCCUCAGAAAGGAUCAAGUUGUACCUUUAGAGCUGGCCUUCAUCUGCACCUUAAGUAUGUUUUGAGAUCUACCCUGACUCAUUCCAGCUUGUUUUCGCGUCAGCGGGCAGUGCCAGCAUGGGUAGGAGGGGACAGGAACCUUCACAGCCUGCUUCGAGAAGGGUGGAGCAGCCGUACAGGAUCCACCAAACCUCUCGGAUGGCCACAGGCACAGAGGUGCUGCCUGCAACACCCCAGCAAUGCCCUACAGCCUGGUGGGUCAGACCUUAGGCAUAAAUCCCUCCAUAGGCUCAAAUUGCAGCCAAGGAGGGGAUUUAGGCUCCUACUGGGUCACUGCCAGAGCUGCCUGUGUCCCGAGCUUCCCCCUCGCUGACACUGGGGGCUGAGGCUUUCGAGGUCUCCUUGUGGGCAGUCCCCCCUUAGAAGGAUUAAGCAUUAACAGGGCGGGAGAGAUGGAGCGUGUAACUUGGGCACCGGCUGGGAAAACAGGGUUACGGCUCCUUAAACCCAGGCGUAUCACAUGUCAUUCGCUCUCUUUUCUUUUUGCAGGCAGGGGUGGAAAGGUUAAUGAGCUCACCCAGGGCUGUGAUGAGCUUUGUUGGCAAGAGGAGAGCCUCCAAAAGCCUGGGGUGAGUGCUCCGAUGCAGGGUGGUCCCUCGGCCCCUCUUGACCCAGCGGUGAAGAGCCCGCAGGAGCUCAGGCUUGUCCCUCUGUCCUCUGCUGCAUAGCUUGGGUCUGGCUCUAACAGCAAAAUGAUGGCUGCAAUCCUGUGCCCUGAAAAACCAAAGGGAUUUUCCAGGACUGGGAAACUCCCUGGGACAGUAGUAAUGGCAGGGACAGAGCUUUUCAGCGAGAUGCGCAUAGCAGGAACCAGCCAUGCAGGGAAGGCAGGUCUGCAGUGUUGUUGCUGCACCACGGGGAGGUGUGACAUGUGGGCGUAGCCUUAAUUCACCCCGUUUCCACCCCGAUGUGCUGCGAGCUGGGAACAGCAGGGAGCUGGGUGCGUGGUGUCUGCGUGGUGAAGGGGCACGGCGAGGUGUUACAAACGCCGCCUUCCCUUCCCUUCUCUUCCCUGCUGGCUGCCUGCUCUAAGGGCUUUAAGAAGCAGGGUCGAUGCAAGCCCCCGGUUCUGAUUCCCACCGCGGUGCUGCUGGUGCUUACGUGCAUUUGGGCAGAGACCUUGCUUCAUCCCUCCACCCUACUGCAGCUUUUUUGCUUGCUGUAGCCAGCUUGUGAGCAUCUUUGCACUUGCAGAGCUGCCUUCACACCCCAGUCUUGAGCUGCUGGUCCAGUUUAUGCUUUACUGUUGCAAGCAGGGGUUGGAGAAGUCCAUGGUGGCUGUGUGAUGGCUCUGCCUUGGUGGCAUCUCCCUGCUUCCCUUGGCAAUAAGGGGACAGCUGCUGCCUCAGUGCCCUCUGCCAGGUGAGCCCUACUGAGACCAGGGACAAAUUCCCUGAGACUCCCUGAGUCUGGCCAGGACAUCGUGGACCACUUGUACAGGUGGGAGAAGGCUGAUAGCCACAUCCAUUUCACGUAUUGGUCCUUUCAGUUGUGAUGCUUUCAGCAACCUGGGACGCCGUGGGGCAAAUUCAGUGGUGCUGGCUAAAUUGGCAUAAUUCAGAGCCUCUCGGCUUCACUAAGGCUCCCUGGGCACUCUGUACACCCUGCCUGCUGAUGCAUAAAGCAACCUAAAUAAGUGUAAUUUAUGCACCAAGGAAAAAGGUGCUACUUAAAAGACCUCCCAGCCUGAAAUAACCUCUAAGUGAGGAUAGGGAGAGUGAGGGGAGCCUUGGCUUAAUGCCCCAUAGAGCAGCAUCUCCAAAUUUGGCCCUGGGCCUCAAAGCUUUUAAAAAGAGAGAACAAUUUCAGUUUGUAGGAGGUCAUAUGUGGUCUUGUGCACCUCUCCCCUACUUUGUUUGAGAGUCCUGGCCCAAGCAAGGCACAUCUGAGCAAGCUCAGGAGCGAAGCUCUUGGGGAAGCAGCGCUGGCUGUCAGUGCUGAAGAAGCUGAAUUUCCACCUGAAUUCCCAUCCUGUGUCUUUGCACCUCUGCAAAGCAGAGACAAAACAAGGCCCUUCCACUUGCUAACUGCUCCACACAAAUGCACGUGCCCAGCGAUGAAGCAGCAGCCCCUUCUGGCUGUUGAGCACACCCCAGCUCCCUGUCUUUUUCUCACUUUGACGCUCCCUUCAUGAGCAGGACAGGCUGUUUUCCAACCAGGCAGCUCCUGCUGGAUCAGAAACAUGUGGUUUUAUUGCCAUCAAUACUUUGCAGUGACCUGAAUAUUUCCAAACUUGUGUCAUCCUGCCCGGCGCACACUUAGUGCUUAAUUGUCGCUGGAGGCACUGCUAAUAUCGACACUCCGUGACCUGUCUGCAACCCAGGCCAGUCAAUACGGCCGUGAUGAACGGCUGGUAUGGGAAGUGCCAUUGCUGAUGCCUGGCUGAUAACAUUAUGUGCCUGUGACAUGCGAAUCAACCGCAGGAGUUGCUGUCAGCUUCUUCAGGAUGUGCAGAGCUGAAGGGGGACUUGUAAUGUAGUCUUCAGGGGCAGAGAAACCACAUGAGCAGAGGCAGGAGGACCUCACAACAGCACACUUGGAUCUGGGAUAAAAUCCCACUGGGAAGUUUCCAGCCUGUGCCAGGCUCCAGCAGAAUCCCCUAUGCAUUCAGCCUCUUUAAGGUAAGUUGCAUCUAAAAGACCCUUUAUAUAGCACAAGCCCUUAAGUUAUCCACAGGCAGUAUCCGAAAGGCAUAAAAUACAUCAGAAAUCACACCCAAAAAUGUAACAGAGUGCUUGCUGUCUGUGGAAGAGGCUGGAUGGGUGCAGCUUCUUGGACAGCGCUGGGCACACCAGCAUCACGGGCUGGUUUGCAGCAGCAAUGAGUUGUGGAGAAGCUCCCACAAACCAGCUUGGACCUCCUGGAUGCCCCAGGCUGAGCAGCCUUUUCCAGCUCAGCCCAAACCACAAAGGCAGCCACGUCCCCGCCUCACCCCACCUGAAGCCACGCCGCUGUCUUCUGCUCUGUGAUCAAACUCCCGCUGCCUUUGAUGGGAUUUAGAUGAGGUGUUUUUUCUGCCACCUCCUGCAUGAAAGCACACACGUAUCUUUAAGCACAUGUGGAGGAAAGCCUUGAGCGCUACAAUUCACCCAAAUCAUCAUGAUUCCUUUUAUUUUUACAUUAAAUGUUUUUGCUUUAUGAAAGGAAUAAAAGAACUAUAACAACCACAACGAAAUAAGAAAGUGAAUGCCCAGAGGUAACUACAAUAUAAAAUCAUAUUCAUCAUAUCAUAAUAUUUUACAUUUGCUUGUUUUAUGUGGAUUAAAAACCCCUCAACACACAGUCUAGCAGCAGCAAGGAAAGCAGCAGGAGAGGAAGGGCAAUGAGGGAAAAGCAAGGUGCAGGCCCAGAGGACUGGGACAGCAAGAAAAUGUCUCUGGCUCAAACAAGCCAGAAUUGAAUUGAACUCAAAGUUUUGCACCAAAUGGGUGGACCUACCUGCCCUUGGCCCCCUCCUUGGCCAUGGCCACUUGUACAAAUGUGCCUGCUCUACUUGCAACCAGCCACUUCAUAGCAUGAGCAAUGUGGCCACGGCAGCAGGGCACGAGCUAAAGGCAGCGUCCCCCUCCAGUGCCGCCCUCCUGCAAGGCUGCCGACACCAGGUUGGGCGGCUGUUGAAUUAAGGGGGAGAGAGUGGAACAAAUGGCAUGGGAUGCAGGGCAUUCUUCAUCUCCUGAAAGGCAUCAGA